GGCCUUGCUUCAAGGACGUGGUCAAUCAUCGCUCAUUUGUGGGAAGUAGAGAGGGGAGUGAGAAUGAGUUGUGGUGGACCGUAUCUAACCAUCAAUGUUAAACCACCACAAAAGAACAAGGUUGCUUCAGAGACAGCUGUUGCUGUUCUCCUAUGAGAGAAGAAAACAGGACUGCUUGUAGAAUGUCCAUCAUCUUGGGUUACAAGGUCACAAAGAUGGAGAGUCAGAAUCAUACAUUUUGAACCUCAGUCGCUCAUAUGACUGCUGCUCUCUUUUUGUCUGGAGGCUCUGAUCUUACUUGGGGUAGAUGUAUCAGGUAAAACCUGGUAAUUGACUGUAUACUUCUCAGUGAAAAAGUAUCAGAUGGACCAAUUUAUCAGCUGAGGAGUGGGAAUCUUCUCUGAGAGGAAAAAAGCUUCAAGCAUGUCUUCAGCUUGUGAUCAUGUAAAUAUGCAGUUACAUGAAAGUGUUUUUUUCAGUAGUUUUGGAUGGUAUUUAUGUACUGUUUCACUGAGAAAGUAACAUUUUUAAGUGGAGUGGAAAUUUCAUUUCUUUCUCCCCAAAACACAGUACUCUGUGAAAGCAUUUUGAGUCCAAAAUAUCUGUAUGUAGAAUAAUAGCCUUUCUACCCACAAACUACAUUGCAGUACUUGUGACUGUUCUGAAGAAAAGUCUUAGUUCAUGAAAUCAUCUUGGUUUUGAUUUGCCACAUACAUGUAAUCCUCAUAGUUCUAAUCAUACAGAGGCUUUGUAAUACCCCUAUGCACUUCUACGAAUAAAUGUCUUCCUGUUAGAUGGAAAAAUGGUUUUGUUCUUUAAUGCAUGUGUGCUUAGAAUAUUGGAUGCAUACCUUAUGGAAAACUCAGAUUAAGUUAAUUGCUUAAUUAGUUAAUUUAAUAAGUAAAUAUUAAUUAUCAUUAAUUCAUUUACUCUGAGAGCAACUGUAUCUAUGCAAAACCACCUUAAAACAAAGCUAAUUCUUUAGAGAAAAGAGUAAAUUAUGCUUUUGCUAAUAGAGUUUGCCAUAUUGUCUCAAGCUAGGCUAAAAUGCAGCAAGAGAGUAAGCCCAAGAGUAAAUAUGAUUUGUGGUUUAUUUUAUUAGUGUUCAAAGAUUAUCCUGUUAGGUGGAGAAUAUUUGCUAAGGAAAAUUGAUCCUGUUAAUUUAUCUUUGUUUAUAAAACAUUAGAGAUGAUGUUUAGAUCAUAUAUUAACAUAUCAUCCAUAAUAUGCAAGAACCAGAUGCUCAUGUUAUGCUUUUAACUGUGAUUGCUUGCUCUUAAAGCUUCUUUUUAUGCAUUUUUACUUUUAUGGAAAGUAACAAUUAAACUUCAAUUAUAAGUUCA